rnacentral:misc_RNA from 1 species
GAUGAAGAACGUAGCGAAAUGCGUUAAUUAAUGUGAAUUGCAGAAUUCCGUGAAUCAUCGAGUCUUUGAACGCACAUUGCGCCUCAUGGCAUUCCGUGAGGCAUGCCCAUCUCAGCGUUAGAAAAUAUUCUCAAAUUUUAGUUUUGUGCUAAAAUUUGGAUCAUGUCAAGGAAGCUAUUACUAUUAUUGUGAUCGCUCUUUGGAAAUUGAUAGGUCUUUGAGUUGCUACUCAUAGAACGUGAUGAAUCUUUCUUCGUUCUAUUGUAAUUCACUCUGGUAGUCCUAAAACUUGUAUGCCUGUGGCAUAUCUUGUAAUUUGACCUGAGAUUGGGUAGGGAUACCCGCUGAACUUAAGCAUAUCAAUAAGCGGAGGA